rnacentral:rRNA from 1 species
AUGAACAACACCGCGCACGGCCGAGCAGGGAUGCUUCCUUGGUCGUGGGCCCGCCCUGCAGGUGCCGCGGCCUUGACGGCGCCGCAGCUGAGGCAGAUGAGGGCGCAGUGCCUCGUCUUCCUCGCCUUCAAGAACCAGAUGGAGCCCAGGAAGCGGCACCUCGAGGUCGCGCUCGGUGAGGAUGAGAACGACGGAGCCGGCUGCCACGGCGAGACGCCGACGACGACGAGCUCGCCUUCUCAAGCCUCGUCGUCCUCUGCCGCACCGUUGCCGCUGCCACACCUCCUGCCCAUCUCCUCGCUGCGGCUGUCCCCGCCCGUGACGGAGCAGGAGCAGGAGCAGGAGCAGGAGAAUCGCCACCGCAACGACGACCCGGAAGCAGAACAUGAGUAA